ACGGGUGAGUAACGCGUGGGAACAUACCCAACUCUACGGAAUAACUCACGGAAACUUGUGCUAAUACCGUAUACGCCCUUCGGGGGAAAGAUUUAUCGGAGUUGGAUUGGCCCGCGUUGGAUUAGCUAGUUGGUGGGGUAAAGGCCUACCAAGGCGACGAUCCAUAGCUGGUCUGAGAGGAUGAUCAGCCACAUUGGGACUGACACACGGCCCAAACUCCUACGGGAGGCAGCAGUGGGGAAUAUUGGACAAUGGGCGCAAGCCUGAUCCAGCCAUGCCGCGUGUGUGAUGAAGGCCUUAGGGUUGUAAAGCACUUUCACCGGAGAAGAUAAUGACGGUAUCCGGAGAAAAAGCCCCGGCUAACUUCGUGCCAGCAGCCGCGGUAAUACCAAGGGGGCUAGCGUUGUUCGGAAUUACUGGGCGUAAAGCGCACGUAGGCGGAUCGAUCAGUCAGGGGUGAAAUCCCAGAGCUCAACUCUGGAACUGCCUUUGAUACUGUCGGUCUAGAUAUGGGAAGAUAUGAGUGGAAUUCCGAGUGUAGAGGUGAAAUUCGUAGA
rnacentral:rRNA from 1 species